rnacentral:lncRNA from 1 species
CUGGCUGUUGGUAUCCUGGCAUCGGACCAUUAUAAGCUCCAUACUGUGUGUGAGGAACCCCUGGCAAUGGCUGUCCUCCGUAGGCAGGCUGCUGGUAGCCCUGAUAUCCAGGCUGAGGUUGCCCAUAAGGAGGCCCCGCGUGAGUAUGCUGGUUUACACUCAUUGUAUUCACAUCCCCAAACUAAUUUCACCUCCGCUGCCCGCCGCUCCUGGCGCUGCUGCCGGGCCCGCUUCCGGCUGCCG